rnacentral:lncRNA from 1 species
AGACAAGGGUAGGUAGCCAAACAACCCAGAGAAGAGAUUGGCAUUAGAGUUAGCAGAGGAUGAAGAAAGAGACCCAGGGCUUGGGCAGUGGGGCCUUAGAGCUCAGCCUGCUUCUGAGAAGCUUUUCCAUGUAGAAACUGGGGUUUAAAUCUCAGACAUGCUGGGAUUUCACCCCAUUUACUUCCUGCUGUUCUAGUGAAUUGGGUACUGUGGGUCACUUGCUCUGAUCAAAGACCUUUUCCAUCUUUCUCUGAACAUUGAAGACCUGUUCCAACCAAGCCUAAGGAGACUAAAGUCAUGGACUCUUCCUUCCUCAAAUAAAGCCACUUCUUUCAUACACUUGCA